UUUGAUCCUGGCUCAGGACGAACGCUGGCGGCGUGCCUAAUACAUGCAAGUCGAGCGGACGGAUGGGAGCUUGCUCCCUGAAGUCAGCGGCGGACGGGUGAGUAACACGUGGGCAACCUGCCUGUAAGACUGGGAUAACUUCGGGAAACCGGAGCUAAUACCGGAUACGUUCUUCUCUCGCAUGAGAGAAGAUGGAAAGAUGGUUUUGGCUAUCACUUACAGAUGGGCCCGCGGCGCAUUAGCUAGUUGGUGGGGUAAUGGCCCACCAAGGCGACGAUGCGUAGCCGACCUGAGAGGGUGAUCGGCCACACUGGGACUGAGACACGGCCCAGACUCCUACGGGAGGCAGCAGUAGGGAAUCUUCCGCAAUGGACGAAAGUCUGACGGAGCAACGCCGCGUGAACGAUGAAGGCUUUCGGGUCGUAAAGUCCUGUUGUUAGGGAAGAACAAGUACCAGAGUAACUGCUGGUACCUUGACGGUACCUAACCAGAAAGCCACGGCUAACUACGUG
rnacentral:rRNA from 1 species